rnacentral:rRNA from 1 species
GUGCCAGCCGCCGCGGUAAUACAGAGGGUGCGAGCGUUGUUCGGAAUUAUUGGGCGUAAAGCGCGUGUAGGCGGCCAACUAAGUCGGGUGUGAAAGCCCUCAGCUCAACUGAGGAAGUGCGCCCGAGACUGGAUGGCUUGAGUGCUGGAGAGGGUGGCGGAAUUCCCCAAGUAGAGGUGAAAUUCGUAGAGAUGGGGAGGAACACCGGAGGCGAAGGCGGCCACCUGGACAGUAACUGACGCUGAGACGCGAAAGCGUGGGGAGCAAACAGGAUUAGAAACCCCCGUAGUCC